ACAUUGAAACACUAGUUCCUGUACGAUCACAGGAGUUAAGCAAUGUUGAGGUUGGUCAGUACUUGGGUGACUGCUUGGGAAUACCAGGUGCUGUAA